UGUAGUCAUAUGCUUGUCUCAAAGAUUAAGCCAUGCAUGUCUAAGUAUAAGCAAUUAUACCGCGAAACUGCGAAUGGCUCAUUAAAUCAGUUAUCGUUUAUUUGAUAGUACCUUACUACAUGGAUAACCGUGGUAAUUCUAGAGCUAAUACAUGCUAAAAAUCCCGACUUCGGAAGGGAUGUAUUUAUUAGAUUAAAAACCAAUGCCCUUCGGGGCUCUCUGGUGAUUCAUAAUAACUUCUCGAAUCGCACGGCCUUGCGCCGGCGAUGGUUCAUUCAAAUUUCUGCCCUAUCAACUUUCGACGGCUGGGUCUUGGCCAGCCGUGGUGACAACGGGUAACGGAGGGUUAGGGCUCGACCCCGGAGAAGGAGCCUGAGAAACGGCUACUACAUCCAAGGAAGGCAGCAGGCGCGCAAAUUACCCAAUCCCGACACGGGGAGGUAGUGACAAUAAAUACUGAUACAGGGCUCUUUCGGGUCUUGUAAUUGGAAUGAGUACAAUUUAAAUCCCUUAACGAGGAACAAUUGGAGGGCAAGUCUGGUAAUCG
rnacentral:rRNA from 1 species